GACGGAGGAUGCAAGUGUUAUCCGGAAUCACUGGGCGUAAAGCGUCUGUAGGUGGUUUAAAAAGUCUGCUGUUAAAAAUUGAAGCUUAACUUCAAAGGUGCCGUAGAAACUUUUAAACUUGAGGAUGGUAGGGGUAGAGGGAAUUUCCAGUGGAGCGGUGAAAUGCGUAGAUCUUGGAAAGACCACCAACGGCGAAAGCACUCUGCUGGGCCGACACUGACACUGAGAGACGAAAGCUAGGGGAGCGAAUGGG
rnacentral:rRNA from 1 species